rnacentral:rRNA from 1 species
UCGAGGAUCUUUAGCAAUGGGCGAAAGCCUGACUAUGCGACGCCGCGUGAGGGAUGAAGGUCUUCGGAUCGUAAACCUCUUUCGAUAGGGAAGAAACCUCCGAGCAAUCGGAGCUGACGGUACCUAGAGAAGAAGCCACGGCCAACUCCGUGCCAGCAGCCGCGGUAAUACGGAGGUGGCGAGCGUUACUCGGAUUCAUUGGGUGUAAAGGGCAGGUAGGUGUUCUGCCAAGUUAGAGGUGAAAUCCUUGGGCUCAACCCAAGAACUGCCUCUAAAACUGGCGGAAUUGAGGCCGGAAGAGGAGAGCGGAAUUCCCGGUGUAAGGGUGAAAUCUGUAGAUAUCGGGAGGAACGCCAGUGGCAAAAGCGGCUCUCUGGUCUGGCCCUGACGCUGAACUGCG